rnacentral:rRNA from 1 species
UACGUAGGGUGCGAGCGUUAAUCGGAAUACUGGGCGUAAAGCGUGCGCAGGCGGUUUUGUAAGCCAGAUGUGAAAUCCCCGGGCUUAACCUGGGAAUGGCAUUUGGGACUGCAAGGCUUGAGUGCGGCAGAGGAGACUGGAAUUCCUGGUGUAGCAGUGAAAUGCGUAGAUAUCAGGAGGAACACCGAUGGCGAAGGCAGGUCUCUGGGCUGACACUGACGCUCAUGCACGAAAGCGUGGGGAGCGAACAA